rnacentral:rRNA from 1 species
ACGUCUACAUUAGAUACCCCUGUAGUCCAGGGUGUAAACGCUGCAGACUUGGUGUUGGAAGCCCUUUGGGGGCAUUCAGUGCCGGAGAGAAGUUGUUAAGUCUGCUACUUGGGGAGUACGUCCGCAAGGAUGAAACUUAAAGGAAUUGGCGGGGGAGCACCGCAACGGGAGGAGCGUGCGGUUUAAUUGGAUUCAACACCGUAAAACUCACCAGGGAAGACUGUUACAUGAAGGCCGAGAUGAAGACUCUGCUAGAUUUUCAG